rnacentral:rRNA from 1 species
ACGAACGCUGGCGGCGUGCCUAAUACAUGCAAGUUGAGCGCUGAAGGUUGGUACUUGUACCAACUGGAUGAGCAGCGAACGGGUGAGUAACGCGUGGGGAAUCUGCCUUUGAGCGGGGGACAACAUUUGGAAACGAAUGCUAAUACCGCAUAAAAACUUUAAACACAAGUUUUAAGUUUGAAAGAUGCAAUUGCAUCACUCAAAGAUGAUCCCGCGUUGUAUUAGCUAGUUGGUGAGGUAAAGGCUCACCAAGGCGAUGAUACAUAGCCGACCUGAGAGGGUGAUCGGCCACAUUGGGACGGAGACACGGCCCAAACUCCUACGGGAGGCAGCAGUAGGGAAUCUUCGGCAAUGGACGAAAGUCUGACCGAGCAACGCCGCGUGAGUGAAGAAGGUUUUCGGAUCGUAAAACUCUGUUGGUAGAGAAGAACGUUGGUGAGAGUGGAAAGCUCAUCAAGUGACGGUAACUACCCAGAAAGGGACGGCUAACUACGUG